GAUAGAGGACCUUCUGCUAAAACCACCCACGUGCUGUAGGCAACGCAGAAGUCAUCACAUCCUGUGGG
rnacentral:sRNA from 1 species